UAUUUAAUAGAUUUUUGAAAUUUAAAUCUUUUUGAAGCAUAAUGAAAAGUUUUGAUAUUCGCUAUCGACUGAUUAUUGCAAGUGUGGCGUGACGACGAUUUGCUUUACCGACACUGUAAAUUUGGUUCUUAUUGGAAGUGACACGACAAGCAGAGAGAUCGUAUAGCUUCGACAAGUCAUUCUCGAAAUUUAUAAAACACUCUCUUUUUCAGAAUUUUAGAAACGUUAAAGCUUAUAAACAAGUAAAAUAAUUGAUUUGUCAGAUAUUGUGGAGUCCACACAAUGCGAUAGUGGCCACGUGAAAAUGUAAGACCAUGAUUAUCGCUGCAGCUUAAGUGGGUUUUUUUUUAAAAUAACUUAUUUAAAUAAAUCAAAACAAAAUAAAGAGGGGAUUAUCGAUCCUUAAAUAGGGAUUUUGGAAACCGAUCUUUAACUUGAUUUCCAACCACGUGUCCGCUCGACAUCUCCUCCGAUUCUCCGCCUCCAACCUUCCUCGUCGUAGUCUGCGGACCUUCCUCUCUCACCCAGCGGUUGAACACCACCAUAGACGAUGGAGACUUCUCGGAAGAAGAGUUCGUCGGGGCUACUCUCGCGCUCCUCUGAUUCCGCGGCGGGAGCUGAGGAGGAGACGGUGGAGGAAGAGGCGGGAACUUGCAUCUUGGUCUUGUACACGGCAUCUUCGCCAGGUAUGAUAUGCCUUUGCAUCUUGGUUUUUGUAUUAUAGAUGGAGUGGAUGCCAAGAUGAAAGAUGGAAUCUUGAAGAUGAUUGUGUCAAGGGUCAAGGUGAAGGACCAUGACAAUUGUACCAACACUCUGCCUCCCAACAGAGGUAAUUCUGCAAUUGACAUGGUUGAAGUGGAGGAUCAUCCGUUUGUGGUGAAAGGUCGCAAGGGAACGUUCACUUCAGCACGAACAUCUGAUGGAUGUUAUCACCUUUCAGUGGAUCUGCCAGGUGUUUCUAGCGAUGACAUAUUCGUGCUACCAAAUGAGAAUGAAUUAAAGUUCAUUGCUGAGAACAAGAGUGUGUACGAGCACGACGAGAGUUGCCGUAUUUUCUAUUGGAGCCUUUAACAAGCGUACAUGUUGUUCCCAUGGGAUUCCACUUCUUGACCACAAGAUCGCUUGGGAUGCUGAGUUUGGUGUUCUCGAAGUCCGUGUUUCACCUCCUCUCAACAACAAUGAUCAGUAAUCAUCACUCUUAUGAGAUCUAUGAUUGAAAUAUGUAUCCUAUGUCUCUUGCGUCUCGUUAUGGUGUCUAAGCUAUAGCUAAGCAGCAGUGUCACAAGCCACUGAUGGUGCUGCUCUCUCUAACUCUGGGAACUCACAUCUUCCGCGAGGUAGCCUUGCUGGGCUCGAGCAGAUGAAUUUCAUUACCUUGGCAACACCUCAUCUAGGAGUGAGAGGCAGAAAGCAGGUUCUAUCCAUUUCCUUUUAUAAUAAUUGGAACUCAUCAAUUGUUUAGUAUGAUGUUAAAACGGUAGUUCUUUGGUCCCUCCCAUUUUUGGAAUUAUGAGACUAUAGAGGAAAUUGUAGUGUCCACUCUAGCUCAACCCCCAUAGCGAUUUCUGAGUAAAAAGAAAACAAAAUUUUCUCUGAGGCUAAGAUCUCGCUAAAAUAAAAUCAAAAUGGAACAAUUGUUUGUAGAGAUUCACUAGAGAUGUUUUUGGCAGUUCAUAUAAUUUUAAUAUUUUUUUUAAGAAACCUUAAUUAAGAAACUUCCAUUGGCCCAUUCAAAAUGGAAGUUUCUUAACUAAAGUUUUUAAGUUACUUUUAUUAAUUAAAAAAUCAUUAAGAAACCCAUUAGGGGUGAUAGGGAUAAUCAUGCUCUAAGUAAACCAAGUGACGUUGUAAAUGGAUGGAUCUAUUAUUGUAUUUAUCGUACCGGAAAAAGAGUGUGUAUAAAACGUGAAAUUUGAUAUUUUCCCUGCUCUGUUUAGCAACAGCCCAUUUACGGGAAAAAGAAAACAACCCAUUUACAGGAUUUACGCAAAAUAAACUCAUGUUACUUCGAUCCGGGUAUUUAUAAUUUUUUUUAACGUCUGAUUAAUUAUGCUAUUACAGCCGAUAAUUCUACCACCAUACUAGAAUACACGUCUAACUGCGUUACUCCGAGCCGUCCUAUGAGAUACAUGUUCGAUGAUAUGCCUUGCACCAUUCUGAAGACCUCUUGUAAUCUUUUUUCUCCAUAAUAUGCAUGAUUUGCAUUUUCUCGGGUUUGAACCCUAGACCUCCGGGUGUAGAAGCAUUAAUGAACCCUUAGUCAAACCACUAGACUAAGGGGGCUUCCACAAAUAUAAUUUUAUUUUAAUAUGUAAUAUUUACAAAAUGAAAUAAAUUGUAAAUAAUUAUUUUUUUAAAACAAAUAUCCAUUUCGAUCUCUUAUAUACAUAUAUAUAAUAUUUAAAUAAUUAUAUACCACAAGAUUCUUUGUGAAAAAUUAUAUACCACAAGAUCUCUUUCGGGGAAAAUGAUAAAAUGAUAAUGAGGUUUAAAAUAGGGUAAUUCUCCAUAAUAGAUUUUUUUGAGUUUUCAUCUCAAAAAUAGCACAGGAAAGGAAAAAUCACAAAAAUAACAUUCAUUAAUGGACAAAAUAUCCUUAAUAUCCGACGACGGGCCGCCAACGAGAUUCAAUCAACUUCGGCGACGACACGACGAACACUUUCAUCAUCUAUCAUCUCCGACGAACGACAAGGAAGACGAAGAGAUUCGUGUCUCUGCCUUCGCCUUCUUCUCUCGACGACGAAAUCUCUCGACUUUUUGCGAAUCGUUGCUUCUUCUCUCGACGACGAUGGAGACAAUCCCGGAGAAUCUACCACCGUUAUCUUCUCCGGCGAAAACACGAAGCUACCAUCUCAAAUCAAAAGGCUUCAUUUUGGGAACACAAGGAAGGAUCUACAAACAAGUAUCGAAGUUUAAACCAUCUACAAAAAAUCUCGUGACCAUCUACAAAAUUUGACUGACACGAAUCCAUUGGAUGAGACGGCUUCCAGACACAGUGAAGCCAAUCCGGAUCAAGCAGAUGAAACUCCAGAGCCUACGACUGAGAUCAUUUCACCAAACGUUUCGGAGACACGGCCCCUUACUCGAGCUCGCAUAAAUCUUUUAAGAGAGCAAAAGAAGACUGACACGACUCCAUUAGAUGAGACGGCUUCCAGACACAGUGAAGCCAAUCCGGAUCAAGCAGAUGAAACUCCAGAGCCUACGACUGAGAUCAUAUUACCAAAUGUUUCGCUCUUGAAUCUCUCUUGUUUAACACCCUCACUUCCUUUUUGGUAUUUGACAGUGUUGAUUCCUGCCCUCUUGUCGGAACAUAUUGGUGAAGAGAUUAAUUUCAAGAAAAUCGUUCCAUUUCAAGUUGAGGAAGCAGAAGGUUUACUAAAGACAAAAUUUCAUUUCAAAUGUGGCCUCUUUGUUGUCAAGAUGCUGGAAUGCAGGUCAUGGAGAUUGAAAGACAUGUCCAAUAUAAAUGAUGACACUGCGAUGGACUUAAAGAGCAAGUUAUAUUGUGAGAUAUUUGACCAGUUUAUGGAUAAAGAUUUUCAGGAAGUUUACAGAAAGUGAACAUGUCACACUUUUAGACUUUAGACUGUUGUCGAAUUUUGUUUGCUAUUAUGUAUGGAAUGUUUAGUUGGACAAGUAUGGAAUGUUCUAAUAAGUUUGUAAUGAAUUAUGAAGACUUUUUUUUCA